rnacentral:rRNA from 1 species
UGAGCAAUCUGCCCUUCUCAUCGGAAUAAGCGUUGGAAACGACGUCUAAUGCCGAAUACGACCUCCUUUCGCAUGAUCGGAGGUGGAAAGCUCCGGCGGAGAAGGAUGAGCUCGCGGCCUAUCAGCUAGUUGGUGAGGUAGUGGCUCACCAAGGCGUCGACGGGUAGCCGGCCUGAGAGGGUGACCGGCCACACUAGGACUGAGACACGGCCCAGACUCCUAGGAGG